rnacentral:rRNA from 1 species
UACGGGGGGAGCAAGCGUUGUUCGGAUUUACUGGGCGUAAAGGGCGCGUAGGCGGCCAGCACAAGUCAGUUGUGAAAUCUCCGAGCUUAACUCGGAAAGGUCAACUGAUACUGUGCGGCUAGAGUGCAGAAGGGGCAACUGGAAUUCUUGGUGUAGCGGUGAAAUGCGUAGAUAUCAAGAGGAACACCUGAGGUGAAGACGGGUUGCUGGGCUGACACUGACGCUGAGGCGCGAAAGCUAGGGGAGCAAACGGG